rnacentral:tRNA from 3 species
CGGGAUGUAGCGCAGCUUGGUAGCGCACUUGCAUGGGGUGCAAGGGGUCGGAGGUUCAAAUCCUCUCAUCCCGACCA